rnacentral:lncRNA from 1 species
AAAGAUGGUUUGACAAACAUGCAUAAAUUGAGGAUUGACUCUGUAGAAAAGCAUGGCUUCUUUACCCAUAAUGGUGCAAGGACUACUACCCAGAGUCCUGCGUCAAGGAUUGUCGGGUUUGAAUCAAAGAUUGCGAUGAAAAGCGCUGCUAAUUUAUUCGAAACAAACCCAUCUGAUGGCAUUCACUCAUCUACUGUGGUUCAGGACAUUGACCAAAUGACUGAGACUACAAGUUCGUUAGGAAACGCUUGUUGUCACCUUUGAAAUUGCGAUGAAAACUGCUGCUAAUUUAUUCGAAGAAAAUCCAUCUGAUGAUUUUCACUCAUCUACUGUAGUUCGGGACAUUGACAAAAUGAACGAGACUACAAGUUCAUUAGUUAGGAAACGCUUAUUGUCACC